CUGAAAUGCGGUAAAGCUCAAAAGCAUUGUAAUCUCUCCUGCGAAGCUUUCUAUGGGAAUAGUAUCGUCGGGAGAGAUUCCGACGCUGGCACACAGACUGGGAAUCCGCUCCCUGGUGGAGAUGACAGGACUAGAGUCUGCAGGCAUGCCCACCCGACAGAAGAAAGUGAGGGGGAAGGAAGAAAUGCCCUCCAAGCUAAGAGGAGUUAGAGAAACAUUCCUGGCCACGAAACCCUUUGCUGGGAUCUAUAACUUCAAGACUCUCCAAGUUUCCUCGACAGAAGUUUCUGGCUGAGGGAACCAACAUGUAACUGAGGCACAGUGACAAGUUAUUGUCCCGUGUGUGUGUGUGUGUGUGUGUGUGUGUGUGUGUGUGUGUGUGCGCGCGCGCGCGCGCGCGCUCUGGGGAAGCUCUCUUCCAAAGUGGAUUUUUUUUUUUUUUGGUGUAUAGAUACACUUCACAUCUGCCUCUUUUCAAAACAGCAAAGAAUUUUACUUUUGAUUCUCAAGGGGAUUUUUUUAAAUAACUGCCUGUUGCCAUGUCUUCUUUUUUUAAAUGGGAAAAAGUAAUUGAAUGCUGAUAUUUCCACUUUAGAAACUUCUUUUGUUGCAGCAGUGGAUGUGCCCGCGAUUUCCAGCAUUCUGCGGUUAGCAAUAUUAUCUUAAGUAACUUUUGGCGCCCUUCGUAAGACUUUUGGAUAUGGGACGAUUGUUUGCGCCCUCUAGGCAAGGGCUGGAUCCAAGUUCAGCACCAAAGCCCUCCACAUCCGCUCCUGCUUUCUCUCCUAUCUGUGCCAGCUCCCGCUCCCUCCCCCGCUCCGGAGGAGGGUGGAAGGCGGGGGAACACUACAAAGCCCAGUUCCAACUACAGCCUUUGCAAACUAGACUGAGAAAAAUACCGUAGAAGAGUUACAGUUACAGAAUGGCUUCUGGUAACUUUCUCUCCAACAGGCAUAAAUUUAAACACACAAAGAAACAGAUGUUCCUCAGAGGACAGACCCGGGAUAAAAAACAUUUCUAACUUUCUCCUGUCUUCUAGGUUGCAAAAGUAAAUCCUUGUCUAGAGUUCACAGAGAUACUAAGAGAGGGAGAGAAAGGAAGAUCUGAGAAAGAGGGGGAAGGGAAGGGGGAGCAAAAGAAGGGAGAAGAGUGUAGGAAACACAGGUGAUGUAUGAAAACUAGUUUAUUGCAAUCAUAUAAAUGACCCAUUGUUAGGAAGGGUAAAUCCUUAUUGGAAACAUUACUCCAGUCGUUUAUUUUGCAAGUGGUAGGAGGCUGCCUUGAAACCGGAUUGUCUUUGCAAAAAGGAGGUUCCUGCCAUGCUCUCUGCUAUCCAUAUUCUCCCUGGCACAGAGCCCAGCCUUGCAUUUACUGUUUUAUUUGCAGAAACGUUACCUUGCCAGCUUUAGUGAAAUCCUCUUAGAUGUAUAAAUUACGUCAAUAAAGUUUCACUUCUACAUAUAUCUGAAAUACCUCUCCUUUCUAUUUAGUUGGGAAAUUGUAUUAAUGUGAUUUAGAUUUUAAUGCCCAAAGUAGUGAAAAUGGGACCAGGAUUCCUAAGUGACAAUAAAUACCAUUUGCUCUAUAGUUAUCACCAAGACUAACUCUUAACUAGUAUUUUCCAGCAUUUUUCUUCACUUUUUUACUUACUGGUCACUUGUGUGCAGAUUUCUCUUACUUGCAUAUAAUCCCAAAUUGAAUCAUGUUGAUGCAUUGAGCACACAAGUGAGUUUUUCACAUCAAGUUUCCGAACAAGGUUUGUCUGGAAGGCCCAAAGCCUCAGGAAAUAGUUGGAUGAGAACUAAAUCCACAUUAAAAAGUAAAGAAUCCAUAUUAUUUUCCAUGUAUUACCUACAGAAUUGGGGGUGGGGGUUGAUAGAUUUGAACCAGAGGCUGCAAGUUAUAUCUCCAAGACAAACUAAGGCAGUUAGUUUCCACCAUGCAGAUGGCCAGGAUUGAACAAGAGGCUAGACUCCAGCUAACAGGAGUCAGUUCUCUCCCACUUAUGUACCCGCCAGUAGGGUUGUUGUGGUAACACAAAGAAAUGUGAUAUGCUCCAUGCUACUGACCAUAAUCUGAAACAGUAGAAUUCAGGAACAUCCAGCCCCUCCCUUCUCCUUUUCAAAUCUAUAGAACAGUUGUCCAUCUACCUAUAGUGCGUUCUCUUUCAUGGAUACAUCAAAGACUCUAAAAGAAUCAGCGAGAAGUUCUGAAGCACUUAGUGCAGUACCAACUUGAGGCAUCUUUCUCAAAGAAGCUAAACCUCUCCUACGAGUUCCCAACUUCCCUGAGUUCUGAGAAUAACUAAUGCAAGGUUAAAUAUUACUCUAGCAGAAUUUUCCAAAGGAGCAAAGUUAAAAGUCACAUAGGAGCCAUGCAACCCCCCAACAGCCUCUUUUCUCCUUUAAACUAACAACAACAACCAAAAAAACACCCCUCUUUCCUAUUGUAAUUGCUAAAUCCGGAAGCGCUGGUAUCUUUGACAGCUUGAACUAUACACCAUCCCCUUCAGAACUGCAGAGAACUUCAGAUCUCAUUUGCCCCGCCCCCUAUGGCUAUUACGAACCACUGUAUGCCCAAGCUUUCUCAUGAUUGGAUAGAACUUCUGUCAAUCUCGCAGGUUGUCCCAUUGAUUAGAGGAUCGAAUCGUCAAUUAUUCUCGGGUCCAGACAUUUCUUUUCGGGUUAGGUUGACUGCAGAGGCCAGACGUCUUUAACAGAGCAGAGCACGUACAGGAUCCCCCUCCCCCUCCCCCCCUUUUCUGGAACGGAGCAAGCGCUAGCAGGAAAAAAAAUCUGUUAAGCUCAGCAAUUUUUUCAAAUCCUGGAAAAAAAAAAGAAAGAAAGAAAGAAAGAGAAACCCGAUCUCUCUGCUGCACAUAACAAAAACACGAUCCACAAAGCUGCAUCUUUAAAAGAAAACCAUCGCAAUAGACAUUUACCCAGCAAUCACUAAAGUGCAUAUUCGAGCUAGAAAAAUUUUAAAGUCUUAACCAUUAAGCAUAAACAUUCUACCGUUGUUUAUAUAACACAUAUCGUAUAAAUGUAAAAUAGAAAGUUUAAGAUGUACCACGUACCAUUGCAAUGUAAAAAGAGUACGUGAGAAACUUUAAAAUGCUCAGACGAAUUGCUUCAUCGCUUGUCCCUGUUUUUUUGCAUUAAAAAAAAUAGCUAAAUAAACUUGGAACCGUUGAAAACCCGGAAGAGAUUUUUUUAAGCUGCUGGCCAAUUGCAGGCUUCUUGGAUAUUUUUUUUUUAAACUCCAAAUCAAAAGGCUUCUACCAAGGAUGGCAGAGCUCUCUCUCUCUCUCUCUCUCUCUCUCUCUCUCUCUCUCUCUCUCUCUCUCUCUCUCUCUCUCUCUCUCUCUCUCCCCUGUCUUUCUCUCUCCCUCCCUUUCCCUCUCUCGCGGUCUCUCUCUCUUUCUCUCUCUCCUCUUUGAAAGCGAUCCAAUCUAACCCGAGCUGGCUGCUUCUCAGAUUCUCUCUGGAUUUGCCUGGUGUGCUUGAAAGAGACUUUGCAGAAGUUGCGAUCCUUUCAGCAGCCCCUCUUUCCUCUCCCUACCCCCUUGUUUAUUUCCGCAAUCGCUGCAAUUUGCAUAGUAACCACGCCCGAGGCGAAGGGGCCGGAGGGGGCAGGGACAGUCUCAGGCGUCCCCUCCUCCCUCUCCGCGCUGUCUCCUCCUCCCCCACGGCUUGUGGCCAAUGGGAGCCCCGGCCUUCAGCGCAAGCUCGGGUCGGGACUCCCGGCUGCAGAACCGCCUCUGAGUUGAUAGGCCCCGCUCCCGGGAUCCGGGUUUUGGCGCAGGGGAAGUUUCCCUGCUUGCAGAGGUUGCAGCAGGCUCGUAAGAGAUGGGAAGAUUAUAGUUCCUUUGCCCGCAGUUCACGCCGGUUUUGCAUGUUUGAAUCACGUUCGCACACCUGCUUCGUCGGUUUCUUUUUCCGAGCCUCUUCCUGUAAUCAUGUUCAAAAGCAAGCAGUGAACCCAUCCUUCUCAUCUUGUGCACAACACAACAAUCUCAAGAGACGGAACAGAAUGUUAUCUAAGUGAGCUGCUCAGGUCACCAGGGAGGACAGAACUGAAGGGGAACUCAAGAGGGGGUCCAGCUACCAUAUUCUACAGAUGAUAAAACUGAAGCUGGUAGAGUUAAGGAGCUGGCCACACAGCUGGUAAAGAAUUAACCCCUAGCCCAGUGCCAGACUCAUUACAUCAUGCAAAGGCUACUCUGCAGGAACAGGGAGAGAGCAUGUGACCGUGUCUGCUACCAAAGUCUGAAAGAAGCCUGAGAAAAGAAACAUACUGUUAAUGAACCCAAUGGAAGUAAGAAAACAUUAAAUUACUGAAACAAAGUCCAGGCUAGUAUUUAGAAUUGUACCAGCAUGUUUAGACAGUAAGGGAUACUUUUUCAGGACACUGAAGGAGGAUGACAGCCUCAGCCUGAGAUGGGAUUGCUGGAGUGUGAACUGUGCUCUCUACCCCUGGUGACUUUGGGCAGGUCAAUUUCUCUGGCAAGCCUCUCCGACUACCUACUCUGUGAAACACAAAUAUCAUCAGCUGUACUUUAUUCAUGAGCUCUGGUGAGGAUUCCAUGAAUUCGUGAAUGAGAAACUAGAAAACCAACCAAACCUGAGAUUCUGUUCUGGGGAGGCCUGAACUACCAACAACUGUUAGCUUCUCAAGGCCUAUGAGGACAAAGAGUGCUGCUAUUCAUUUAUGCUUGUCAAUCCCAUAUUUUCCAGAUUUGGGAAUAAAGAUAAGUCUCAGUCUCUCUCUCUCUCUCUCUCUCUCUCUCUCUCUCUCUCAAAUAAAAUAAAUGAGAACCAUAUCUAAAGUCAACCAACCUAGGCCAGCCAACAUAGCCAAUCUCUCUCUCUCUGCCCUCCACAUUUACAGACACAUUAACCUGCACACAAACACACAUAUGUACACUCAUACACAUAGAGAGACAAAAUUAUUUUUAUCUUGAGUUUCUUAAUCAUAAAAGAGGAAAGGGUGAGAACUUAUGAAAUAUACAAUAUCCAUAAAACACUAUAAAAGCCUAGUAUGGAUUUCCAAAAGCAACACAGAUUUUUCUGAUGCUGGAAAAGUUUGACACACAUCUCCCAGUAUAUCCUCCACCACUGCUGUUCUACCCCCCAGAGACAGUGAGGUCGCAGAGAGGUCAGCCUUCACCGGGGAUGCUCUGGGGGUGGGGAAAGGGGAAGCAGAAGGGGUAGGAGCCUUAUCCAAGGACACCUCCGCCCUUGGUUCAUUGGCUCGUCUAACUACAGCAGUGUUCCUCUAGUGGUGAGGUGAAAUUUACCUAGUCUAGCAUGGCUAUCUGUAAGAACAGACCAUCAGCAACAAAAAAACAACAGCAGACCUGGAGUUUUUUUGUUUGUUUUGUUUUUCCACAUUCAUGCUGAUGUUAAAAACAAAACUUAUCAAAAAGUAGAAAGAGAGGAAUUAGAAACUGGAACCAGAUUGGCAUAGGUGCUGGCUUCAGAGUCUCUUUUCCAACCUUAAGUUCAAGAGGUCUGCGGCCUCUCUUGACUUUUCUUUCUUACAAGAUUCACAGAAUCCGUUCAGCACAGAAGACACUAACAGUUGGAGUUGUUGAGUUGAAACUGUCCUUCAUGUUAUUUGAAUCAGACAAAGUAGGGCUAUCAGUCUGAAAGCCCAGUAAAUAGGCUAAGAUUCCAGAAAGCAUUAUAGGAAAAGGGCAGGACAAGAUCUGACCCUGCUAUGGGAACUGCUAGGGAAAAGUCAGUCUUUUCUCAUAUCUAUCUAUCUGUCUGUCUGUCUAUCUAUCUAUCUAUCUAUCUAUCGAUAGAUAGAUAGAUAGAUAGAUAGAUAUGAGAAAUUUAGCAUAGUGUCUUGAAGUUUCACUCACAUGCUAAAUUUCCUUUCUUGUUAAAGCUAAAUAAUGUAACCUAGGGUGUGAUUGGUUUGUUGAUGAAUACUUGGUUACUAUAUAUGUGUGUGUGUGUGUGUGUGUGUGUGAGAGAGAGAGAGAGAGAGAGAGAGAGAGAGAGAGAGAGAGAAAGAGAGAGAGUUUAAUCCUUAACCAUCUUAAAUGUGCAAUUUAGCGGCGUCAAGUACACUCACAGUGUGUACAGCUUUCUCUGCUCUUCAUCCCCAGAGCUUUUAUCUUCUUCCUAAACUGUGGCUCACUUUUCUCUUCUCCUUUUCCCAGUGUGUGGUAAUGCCAUCCUAUUCUCUAUCUCCACAAACCAUAUUAGAAGUGAAAUUAUAUAGUGCUUGACUUUUGGUGACUAGCUUGUUUUACUUAGCACAAUGUCCUAAGUUUCACUCACAUACUAAAUUUCCCUUUCUUGUUAAAGCUAAAUAAUGUAACCAAUGUCCUUCUGUUUGUGGGGUGGGGUGUGAUUGGUUUGUUGAUGAAUACUUGGUUACUUGGGUUGUCUAUAAACCUUUGGUUACUAUGAAUAUGGGUGUACAUAAGUGGGUAAUCAAGGCCCUGCUUCCAUGCUUUCUGAUACACACCCAGAGGUGCAGUUGCCUGAUCUCAUGGUAAAUGUAUUUUCUGUUUCUUUGAGAAGGAAAUAUACCAAGCUUGAUUUUUCUUUAGCGAGAAAUCCUGAGCAAAUUCCUUGAUGACUUUUGUCGUUUAUGAAGUUAACUUCUUAAGUAUCAGGCAUCUUGGAUUUUAGUUCCACGUGCUCUGAUUGUGAGCUUUGAAAAUUGUUUGAUUUCUCAGGACCACUCUCAAUAUCCUCAUCUGUAAAAGGAAUCUUUUAACUUUCAGUGAUGGGGAUUAAACCCAGGGUCUUACGCAUGCCAAGCAAGUGCUCUACCACUAAGCUCAGCCUUAGCUCUGAAGAAUAUCUUUGAGUUAUAUGGUAUAUAAGCUCCUUUGUAAUUCUAAACAUCCAUUCUUCUACAUAGUAAAAAAAAUGCAUUCAUUUCAGAAAUACUUUCUGUAUGCAGGAAGUCAAGAGGAGGACGACUGGGAUGAUGGUUGGCAGAAGACAAAGGAACUGCUUGCUAGAAAAGCAGGGGAAGCCAUGGGCAGAGUCAGCACAGUGACCUGUGGUUGGGAUGCGAUUUUAUCACAGCAGUCAGGAGUCACUGACAGAUGUAAUUACCAACCGGUAAUAAGACAAGACUUUGUUUUUCCUAGAAAAAUCACCAUGGUAGCAAUAUGGAGAGUGAUUUUAGAGUUCUGAUAACAGGCUACCUGUUAUCUUCCUCCUUCAUUAUAAUAUUUCCCCCUUUUAAAUUUUAUCAACAAAUGAAAAAUAGUAAACAAGAUUUCACAUAUUUCAGGCUAGUCUUGAACUUUCUAUGUAGUCAAUGAGCGUCUUGAAUUUUUUUUUUAUCUUCCUAAACCUACUUUCAUGCCGCUGGGAUUAUAGGCUUGUGUUGGGUUUAUGGGGUUCUGGGGAUCAAACCGUAGGCUUUGAAGGUAGAUGAGCACUGUACCUAGAGGCUAAUCUGAAGCAAAAGAUACUUAGUAAACAGCUUGGUUAAAAAAUGCUACAUUGUCCAAGGUGUCUCUGCACAGUGGUGGGAAAGUUGCCUCUUCUCUUAAAGUGAAUACUAUUCUGAUGAAUGGUUGACCUGGCUGGUGGUGAGGUAAUGCCUUUAGGUUACUACUGGUUGGUAAAGCAGAUAUGCCCUUUCAGUCAUUACUUCAUCAACUAAUAUUUUAGUACCAUUAAUACUAGAGCAAUUUAGAAUAAACUACUCUAAUGGGAGACUACUAUUCCUUUGUUACAUUAAAAAUGAAAUAUUGUUGUGGCUCAAUGGUAGAUGUCUCUCCAGGCAUAAACAAGGCCCUGAGUUCUGUCUAUAGUUUGUCUAUCCAUCUGUCCUCUAUCUUUAUCCCUGUAUACACACACGGACACACACAGACACACACACACAUUAAACAUUGCAAAAAUAUGUAAUUCAUUAAAUGGAAUUUUCCUUAAUUUAGAUAGUUUCAUUCUAACGUUGUAACUUAUUCUUUACUUACUUUUAUAGUCUCCUGUUAAAGCCAGGGGUGGUGCUGCUGCCUGUAAUCCUAAAUACUAAUCCAGAAAGAUCAAAAAUUUGAGGCCAGUGUUGAGAGAGAGAGAGACAGAGAGACAGAGACAGAGAGAGAGAGAGACAGAGAUAUGAGAGAGAGAGAGAGAGAGAGAGAGAGAGAGAGAGAGAGAGAGAGAGAGAGCAUUCCAGCCAGCCAGCGUGGAGUCGAUACUCAGUUCCAAUCUCAAAAGUAAAUAAAGAGAUAGCAUAGUAUAUAAAACUACAGAACUAGAUAGUGAUACUGCCUGCCCCUUUUAUAUGCUCCAUCUCUCUUUACUCUGAAAGUUAUAAAUAUUCUUCAUCUACAGAGUUUUGUAACUAGGAAAACAAUUAGUGAUCCUUGUAGGCCACUGUUUUACCGGGCCAAGAAACAACUUGGUUUUUUCUCUAAAAAAUGAGUUAUUUUGGAGGAAAUACUCCAGGUUUUAGCAUUCAGAAGUCCUUGCUGUAUUGCAGAUAUUAGGAUUCAUCUAAUCAGUGAAAUGAGGCUGGAAAGGACAGCAUUUACCUUCAGAACAUUUUGUUAUUUGGCAUAGCAUUUGCUUUGUGUUUACCAAGGAAAGAAAAUCAAAAGGGAACGAGGAAAGCCAGUUACAAAGAGGCCUUAGUGUGACCAGCACAUUUGCAACGGCUGCUUUGCUGCAAGCCCGAGUAAGACUUGAAAAGUUCAAGUUUUUCAUGUGCUUGGUAUGUGCAUUAACUGUAUAGUGAAAAAGGGAGUAGAUUUUGAUAGAAGCUAAGAGGUGGUGUGUGCUUCUGAUUUUAAUAAUAUUCCUAUUCAUUUGCUAGUCAUCCUAGGGUAUCUACUAUUGACAAUUUAUCAAAGGCAUUUUUACCUUGUUAUGAGACAGCCACCAUAAACAUUUAUUUCUCUUAUGUAUGUGGGUGUUUUGCCUGCAUUUGUAGCUGAGCACCAUGUGGGCUUCUGGUGCCUAAUAGAAGCCAGAAGAGAGUAUUGGAUCCCUUGGGACUGGAGUUAGAGAUGGUCAUGAAGCACCAUGUGGAUACUAGGAAUCAAACCCAGGUCCUCUGGAAGACCAGCUAGUACUCUGAACUGCUGAGCCAUCUCUCCUGUCCUAGAAACAAAAUGUUCUUAGCUGACCCACUGUGGAAUCAUUUCUACUGGUCCUGACCACUACCAAAAUUUACAUUCACUAUUAUUAUUAUUUUUUUUUUUACAGCAGACAACUAUCAAAUAAACUCAAGUUUGGAAAUGUUUACUGAAUGUCCUUGAUAUGCCAAAUGUUACAUUAGGGUUUGGGGAUUCAGACAGGAAUGAAGGCGUGACCUUCAUUCGUACAGUAAACAAUUUGAGGCAGGUGGUGUUGGGUUAUGUUAUCAACCACAAGGCUACUAGCAGAGUAACCCUCUCUAGAUCAUGAACACAUAUAAAUAACAUUGCUCCAAAUUGUUAGUUACAUGCCUCCCCCACUCUUUCUUCAUUUCUAAUACUUUAUUAGUGAUACUCUGUUGAAACUCUUACUGAACAAUAUAGAAAAUGUAAUGUGUAUGUUGUAGAGUAUGUUAUAAUUUUCCUAGCAUUCUAAAAUGUUUAGCUUCUCAGUAAUCAAAGCAUAUUGUAAUAUCAAGUGUCAUUUAGACUAUUGCCUGGGGCUUUUGCAGUUUUUGUAGCUUGUCCAGAAUAAAGUUUUUCUUAGUAGAUAACAUUUACAGAGGUACCUAUUGAUUCCUAAGCUAGGUGUUUUUAAUUGGAGAAGUAUUGAAGAGUUUAUGAAAUUCAUUCUCCUUUUCCUUAUUUUUUUUUCUUUCAAAGCCAACCAGGACCUAUAGUUUUACAGUUGCCUUUAUUGAUUUGAUGUUGUUAUGAGAGCAUUCUAGUCAUUUCAAUGUGCUCAAAACUUUUCUUUGAUAAAUGUCCCUCCAUAGCCACAGUUCUAUAAGUUGCCUCAGUGUAUAUGGCAAGUUCAAUGGUAGUAGCCUCCUUUCUUUCUCACAGUCAAAGUCUGACAUAGGAAUUGGAACCUAUGUUGAAAAUUAGAAAACAUUUCACUGGUGGUUAGAACAGUCCCCAUAAGAUAAAUUGGAGGACUUUCUGAGCACAAUUUUUUUAAAUAUUACUUUAAAAAUAAAAACAACCGAGAAACACUCUAAUUUCCAGGCUAGUGUUUAUUAACCUCAUGAAACUGUGCACUCAUUUUCCCUAACCAAAAGCUUUCAAGUAGCAGUGCACUGUGACUCUUGCUAGACUUGUUCCACAGUAAGAAAGGUUGUUGGGUUUUUUUUUUUGGGGGGGGUGUCUUUUUCUCCUUAAAAACUUUUUUAAAGCUAGAUUUUCUGGUUAGCUAGGAACUUCAUAGUAGUGAAUUGUUUCUACACAGUGUAAAAGCCCUAGGUUUGACUUCAUUUCAGGGCAGCGUUUACAAACUGAAGGCUUCUCUGGUGCCUGUGCCUUUUCUUCUUGUGUGUUCUUAUUCGAUUUUGUGUGUAUGGAACACAGAGCUGUAAGUUAGAGUCUAUACAGCCUGGAGCCUUGGAAUCUGGGACUUUCAGAGAAGACAUAAUAGAGGUGCAGCUGCCCUGGACCACAGGGCUUUCUUUCUUGAGUGUCUAGAUGGAUUGCUUUCUGUGAUCCUAGAUGUUAACUUUGUAUGUGUCUCCUCUUAUGCCAGAAUUAAAAUGCCCAUGUCUCUCCAGAUCACAGAAGCAUGGGAAUUGUGCACUGCCCAUCUAUCGUAGGCCAUGAUCCAAACAUAACUGUCUGUUUUAAAUGUUAGUAAGUAAAAUUGAUAGUUAUUUCUUUUAUUAUCAUUAGACUCAUGUGUAUUAUUUCCACCAUGCUGUUUGUUAGAAAGCUCUAUUUUGGUUGUAAUGAAGAGAUUGCUCUACUGGGCAUAGCUUUGUAAAAUGAUUAUUAACACUCUUUAUAUAUUCAGACCUCCCCCCAGCACACGUUCCCGUUCCCUUGUGUAUUUGACUUGAGUACCAGUUGAAUUGUUUCAUUUGCCUUCCCAAGUCCCCUUAAACAGAGGUAUUAGCUACCGAGAAAUCCAACUGACUUUGUCAAGUAAAUGAGAGCCAUCAGCUUGGCCUCCUCUUUCCCAGGGUCUCCUCUCACUGUGAGGGAAAACAAGAUUUCUAAGCCUCUAUACCUAUGUGUUGGGGCUGCAUGUUAAGGUGGGCCUGGAGAGCCAGUGCCAGAGAGAGUGCUGGGUCAGACAGGCUUCCUCAGUGCAAAGCCGCUCAUUUGUAGUCUGCAUGGCACUUAAACCCUUUCAAACUACAAACAAACUUCAGGAAAAUUCCAUCAGUCUAAACAGAGACAUGUUGCUUAAGUUGUUAUUAUACAAUCCGUGACAUUACUUACACAUCUACACAUCCACACUACAAUUAUCUUCCCAAUUUGACAAAUGACAUUGCUCCGGAGGUAGCUUCAGGAAAAGUGGCAGAAACCUCCAGUCAGGACAUUAAGGGUAACUCUGCAGGACUGGAAACGUUUUUCUCAUGCCUGAAAAAUCCACGCAGGUUUUGUCCUGAAUCUAAAAUAGGGAGUCAAAGCUGUCCCCCAAGUGGUUGGGAUCCCACUUUUAAAAUGUAAAUGAUCAGGCUGGGGUGACCCUGUGCUUGGCUGUUGAGAACAUCGGGGAAUAGUAAGUGAAAGCAGUGUUCUAAAUGGAUGUGCUUAAGAAUUCACAGCCCUCAGGACACAGCUAGUAAUUAGUUAAUUAGCCCUCUCACUCUUGCUCCACUAAGUGCUGUCCCCAGAUCUGGUGAGGAGUUUGCCUCAGCGCGCUUCUCCGCAUCUAGUGGUUGUUAAGCAGAAGUCAGACGAAGCCUAUUCUGGGCACAUUUUUAUUUCAAAAGCCAGACAGAAGGAUCACUCCUAAAGGGGAAAAAAUGGCAACUACUUGCCAGAAUAAAUCGAAUGAGGACAAACGCUCCGCACAAGUGCGGAAGCCCGGUUCUCUCCGCGACUGAGCUGCCAAGAAGGCAGCGAGAGGGGAAGAGGGGCACACCUACUCAGCACGGUCUUUUGGUCUGCAAAGGUUUGGCCUUCCCAGGACUCAGAAGGCCUGGUGGCCAUUUUCUUUCUCCUUUUAUUUCUUUCUUUAAGGGAGUAAAAGAAAAUUAAGACGGAAAAAGUAAAUCUCCCUUCCAGUACCGACAACUCGGCUCCUCCCCCAAAAGAAAAAAAAAAUUAAAGUGCAGGUACUAAACCCAAUCCACAUGCAUCCUGCAAAGCUCCCGCAGUCAACUGGAUUCCCUUUGGCGAGCCAUGCUGAAGGAGACGCGAUCUGGAAAAAUCAAUCGCAGCUCACGCCCCGCUCCGCCGCCGCAGUGGCCGGGAGUCAGGGCUGCAGGGCGCUCUGCCGCAGUGCACGUCCGCCGCCGCCGUCCAGCUCCAGUGAAUAAUGGAAGUAUGACUUGGAGACAAUAAAGCUGAUUUAUCACACAAAAUAACUCACUGCUGCUUCAGUCCAACCCUCCGUUGUGCCACUUUAAAUCACAAGUGCGCGCACCCAGAUCCAUAGGCGCUCACACAUGCACAGUACACGUGUGUGUGUGUGUGUGUGUGUGUGUGUGUGUGUGUGUGUGUGUGUGUGUGUGUGCUCUCGCGCGUGCGCGCCAGGAUCAAGUGGAAGGAUUCAGCUUUGCAUAUAGGGGAAAAAAAUCGAAAGAACCUGUCACUCCAGUCCAGUACCCUCAUCGUUUGCAGCGUGGGCAAGUGACGUAUAAUGCAAGUUGGCGCAAAAUAAGGUCCGAACAAAGCUAUCAUGUGAGGGGAUCCAGCGUUAAGGAACAGUCUGUAAAGACUGGCUCUUCUGUAGGCAGAGACCUGACACCAGACGCUGCUGCCCGGUGAAUGGAAAUUGCUCAGCUUCAGCCUCAGAGCAUCCUUGUGGGGAUUUUGUGAUGCUGCGGGUUUUCACAGAUUCCGAGGAGAACUUCAAGGAGAAUUUGAGUAUAAAUUCAGUUCUGCCUCUCACUCUCAUCCUCACCCAUCCGGAACACGGGAAUGUCCCACUUUAGACCCAGAGAAGAGCUAGCGGCGUCUCCAGGCAAGGAGCUGGAGGCACAGAAGCUAAGGCCAAGGUCAUGACCGCCCACUCCGCUUCUGAAGGAGGUGGCAGCUAGGCGCCGCCCUCUGUCUGACCCAGGAGCUGAUCUGGACGUUGCCUUGGACCGCUGAGAUCUGGAGCAAUGCUAGGGGAAGGAGGGAGAGCUACUGCUGACCAGCCCUUGAUCCUCUGGAAGCUGAAGCUCACUGAGUGCCUUUUAGGAAUUGUCCUGAAAGGAAGAUCAACUGUUAAGCACAGCUGCACUUGGAAAGGCGCUCCCUGGCGCUACUUCUUUUCCUGUUAGAGAUUUUUGAGAGGCCUGAAUCCUAACCUUUCUGUCUCCUCAACUCCAGGAACCCGAUCUAAUUGUCCACCACCUCAGCAGCCUGUCUUCGGUGGCUUAGGGUGAUGGAGCAAGAUUAUCAGUCUCCUCAUAGGGAAAAUGUUGCACGAAUUUGAAGUAUUGCAAGCAGUUAAAAACCAAAACCGAAACAAAGCAGAUAUCAAUCCAAACCAAAGACCAACCAAAAUAAAAAUAAAAAAUGCCCUCUUCAAGGCACACACACACAAAAACUUAAGGAAGCUCACUCUUGCCCCGUCAAUUGUGUCCUUGAACCCUUCAGGAAAACACAGCUCUCCCAAGCCUUCUGGAGGACAACUUAAUGACACUGCAGUAUAUCACCAGGUUAAAACGUUUUUCCAGAGGCAAGGUUUCAUAGAAACAUCUUUGCCACUGAAGAUGUAAUGUCUGGUUACAGAGAGGGCUGUGUGGGGGAAGGCUGGUUCCAAUCCAACUAAAAACCCUGGUUUCCAACUUUGGAACCAUAGCACUGGGUGCUGAGGGCCAUGGAGUGUCAGCCUCUGGAGCAGACAGGACUGUAGGCUGGGCUGUUUCCUAUUGCUUGCUGCAGUCUGCAACAGGUAUUUUCCUCUCCUGUUGAUUGAUUGAUUGACUGAUUGAUUGACUAAUUGAUUGAUUGUAAUCCUUCCUUCUAAUGCCCAGAGUUAAGUUCCCAUCUGCCUGUGUUUGAACCUUUCCCCCACAUUUUUAAGUGUGAUAAGCCCUGGCUCUUUAACUGGCAGAAUAGGAACCCUGAAUGUAAUACUGGGGUAGGGGAGAGGGGCAAAGCAGUCUAUCACCUUCAUUCAUUUAUACUCAGCUUUUCAUGGUUUACAAAAUGGACUCAAGGGGAAAGUGGCAGCAAUUUUUAAUUUCUCAGGCAGGAGAGCUUAUGAAGGCCAUAACAUUGUUCAGACUUCAUGUGUCUAAGAUAACACAACAUACUGCACCUCCACCCAAAUCCCCUUGGCAAACACAACUGAACCCCAACAUUCCUGGUCCUCCUUCUAUGUUAUGCAUCUUCUUAAAUUAUCUCUUUGAAAGAGGAUACCAACUUUCACGACAUCACUAAAUGCUCCCUUGUUCUGGGUAAGUUAUAUUCACGAAGUGUGGGCUACAAGCUUGUCAUUUAACCCUUGGCAGAGGUUUCGACCCUGGAAGAGAGAGUGAAGUCUCCAUUUAUGCCUUCAGGGAUAAAAGUGCUUUUCAUCCAGUUUACCGAGGAAGGGGGCUGAGUGCAAAGUGUGUAGGUUUGUAGAAGACAGGAUCCAUCCAUCCCUCAGCUUUGCCAGCAUUGGAAGCACAACCUCAAUAUGUCCACCAUUCUCUGCUUAAAUGCUCGGGCAGGGCACCAGGACACACUGCCUUUGUGGUUUCUGUCUCUUAUACCCACCAGCUCUGGGGGGAAAAAAAUCACACACCUGCACCUUAGAAAGAGGCCAAAUCCAGUUCCUGCCUCCCAGAGAGUAUGAAGACCACUUCUAUUGGAGUUACUGCGUGCAGCAAUUGUUUGUAGCUCCUUAAAGGGAAAACACUGCGUGCCCUUUGUUUUGUCUUAAGAAUCACACAGAGACUAGGCCGGGUGAUAUUCCUGCUAAGUUAAUGCUAGGGUAGAGUGCAGUGCUAGAAUCCCAAGACCAGAGUGUUAAAAUGGAUCUCAAUUUUCUGUUUCCAUAACUGCACUUUCUAUUUGGCUUAUUCCCUUCUUAGGGACCCCAUCUCCUGCAGCAGCACAAGAGAUUAAUAGUUACAUCCCUAUUUUUCUCAAGAUAAAAGCUGUCACUAAAUGGUGUUGCAACCAAGUGUCACAACUGUACAUACCCCAUUGCCAUUGUUUAUUUAAAUUUAUCUCUGCAGUUCUUUUAUGGACUUGGGAAAGUGUAACAGGUUCUAAUUGGUAGGGGGAAAAAAUCCAAGUCAGGUAUGUUUUACUUUUUUCCGAUCAAAGAAAGACUGAGUAAAAGAAUAAGCUUUUUGCAGUGUGUUUUUUCCAACACUCUUUUCAGUAGCUGUACGCUUUCCUCCCUUAUCCAGUUCCGCUUUCACUUUUCCUCCUCCCAGCCUCGCUAACCCACUUAACAAUUCUCCGGCCUGUCCCAGGCCGCUGGUAACGAGCAGAGGACGCCCACGACUCCCCCUAACCACACCGUUCAACUUCAGAAGCUCUUAAGAGAAAAAGUCUUCUUCUCAAAGUGCAGUCGGAGCAAAUCAUUCCCCCAGAGUUCCCUCCACAGCUGCCGUAGGAAGGACUUCGGUCGAUCUUCAAGAGGGGACCCGCGCACAGGACAAGUCCGCCUGUGGCCACAGCAGAACAACCCAGGCCGGAGGUUGACGCCGCCCUACGCGUCCUCCCACCCCACGGGACAUCCCGAUGACCCGGUCACUCAGCGCUCAGCCACUGUAGGACUGACUCCACUCUUUCCUUCCCUGCUCCGCUUCGCCUCCCGAAGUGCUCCCAGAUCAGCUGUGGUGUGAUCACUCCCCAACACCCAGCUCCAUCGCGUACACCCCAACGUGUGCAAGAUGGGGUUCGAAUAUGGGAACCCAACUUUGCAACGAAAAAGCUCAGGGUCAGGCCGGAGCCAGAGGGAAGAAAGAGCACGAAGAGACCGCACAGGGCGCCGAUACCGGGUCCUGAGGAGGCGGUCCUUGUUCCUAAACAGGCCAUGCAGGUGCACCCUGCUGCUUUCUCUUGCAAGUCUUUUGAGGUUUGGCCUUUUAGAGCUUUGUAAAGUUGACUCUCCCCCUCCUCUCAAUCACAGGGUCACACUAGGAACCACACUGUCCUCAGCCCUUUAAUCUCAUUACUGACUUUAGGGGAAGGGGUAGAAGGGUGAGGACGGCCUGGGCCGCGGGAGGAUUGGGGUUCAAGCACGGCUCAGGAGCGCCACGCUGGGCAGGAAGCGCUCAGAGGUCGGUCACUAGGCUCUACUUCUUGAGAAGUGCUGCUUAACCGCAACCGCUCCGCUCCGCCCACACCAGGGGAGCGGGAGAGAAGUCCCGGGCGAAAAAGACUUUUUUCCUUUAAGAGAAGGCAGCUGGUGACCCGGGUCCUCAUCCUUCAAGUUCCCCUAAGCGAAGCAGGGCGCCACCUACAGUCGAGUUCCAACUAGCACGUUGGUGAGAAGGCUGGAGAUCCUUUCCUAAGCAAGGCAGGAUUUUGGGCACAGCCAUCUCAUCUCUGUAAUCAAUCCAGACCAACAGGUCUGUUGGCAGGCAACAGCAGACUAGACCAUACCGAAAAUUUGCGUUGGGGGCGUGAAGAAGUUGGGAAACAGAACAGUACUAGCUCUGAUUGGACUUGUUCGCGCUCUAAUGGUUUUGGCUGGAUUUUGAACCCAGUAUCUCCCCCACGUUUCAGCCAAGGAGAGCAGCAGUCAAUUUCAUUAGGAAGAGUAUUUGUGUGACCUUGGACAAGUUGCUCCGUCACUCACUCUCCUUUUUCUUCCCCUUCAGAACUAUAACCGUGAGAGUUUUUUUUUUUUCUAAAUUAAUGAGAUAAAGUAGGUGAGAAACUGCCCAUGUUAAGAGCUCCCACCUAUUUCUAAAAGGGGGAAAAAUCUUCCGAGAAAUAAAACUUUAAAGACACUGCA